GACGAACGCUGGCGGCGUGCUUAACACAUGCAAGUCGAACGGGAAGGCCCUGCUUUUGUGGGGUGCUCGAGUGGCGAACGGGUGAGUAACACGUGAGUAACCUGCCCUUGACUUUGGGAUAACUUCAGGAAACUGGGGCUAAUACCGGAUAGGUGCUCCUGCUGCAUGGUGGGGGUUGGAAAGUUUCGGCGGUUGGGGAUGGACUCGCGGCUUAUCAGCUUGUUGGUGGGGUAGUGGCUUACCAAGGCUUUGACGGGUAGCCGGCCUGAGAGGGUGACCGGCCACAUUGGGACUGAGAUACGGCCCAGACUCCUACGGGAGGCAGAAGUGCGGAAUAUUGCACAAUGGGCGGAAGCCUGAUGCAGCAACGCCGCGUGCGGGAUGACGGCCUUCGGGUUGUAACCCGCUUUCGCCUGUGACGAAGCGUGAGUGACGGUAAUGGGUAAAGAAGCACCGGCUAACUACGUG
rnacentral:rRNA from 1 species